rnacentral:rRNA from 1 species
GAGUUUGAUCGUGGCUCAGGAUGAACGCUGGCGGCGUGCCUAAUACAUGCAAGUCGAACGAACAGAUAAGGAGCUUGCUCCUUUGACGUUAGCGGCGGACGGGUGAGUAACACGUGGGUAACCUACCUAUAAGACUGGAAUAACUCCGGGAAACCGGGGCUAAUGCCGGAUAACAUGUUGAACCGCAUGGUUCUACAGUGAAAGACGGUCUUGCUGUCACUUAUAGAUGGACCCGCGCCGUAUUAGCUAGUUGGUGGGGUAACGGCCUACCAAGGCGACGAUACGUAGCCGACCUGAGAGGGUGAUCGGCCACACUGGAACUGAGACACGGUCCAGACUCCUACGGGAGGCAGCAGUAGGGAAUCUUCCGCAAUGGGCGAAAGCCUGACGGAGCAACGCCGCGUGAGUGAUGAAGGUCUUCGGAUCGUAAAGCUCUGUUGUUAGGGAAGAACAAAUGUGUAAGUAACUGUGCAUAUCUUGACGGUACCUAACCAGAAAGCCACGGCUAACUACGUGCCAGCAGCCGCCG